AUUGAACGCUGGCGGCAGGCUUAACACAUGCAAGUCGAGCGGGGGAAGGUAGCUUGCUACUGGACCUAGCGGCGGACGGGUGAGUAAUGCUUAGGAAUCUGCCUAUUAGUGGGGGACAACAUCUCGAAAGGGAUGCUAAUACCGCAUACGUCCUACGGGAGAAAGCAGGGGAUCUUCGGACCUUGCGCUAAUAGAUGAGCCUAAGUCGGAUUAGCUAGUUGGUGGGGUAAAGGCCUACCAAGGCGACGAUCUGUAGCGGGUCUGAGAGGAUGAUCCGCCACACUGGGACGGAGACCCGGCCCAGACUCCUACGGGAGGCAGCAGUGGGGAAUAUUGGACCAUGGGGGGAACCCUGAUCCAGCCAUGCCGCGUGUGUGAAGAAGGCCUUAUGGUUGUAAAGCACUUUAAGCGAGGAGGAGGCUACUUUAGCUAAUACCUAGAGAUAGUGGACGUUAUUCGCAGAAUAAGCACCGGCUAACUCUGUGCCAGCCGCCGCCGUAA
rnacentral:rRNA from 1 species